rnacentral:rRNA from 1 species
AUUGAACGCUGGCGGCAUGCCUUACACAUGCAAGUCGAACGGCAGCACGGGAGCAAUCCUGGUGGCGAGUGGCGAACGGGUGAGUAAAGCAUCGGAACGUGCCCAGUCGUGGGGGAUAACGUAGCGAAAGCUACGCUAAUACCGCAUACGAUCUGUGGAUGAAAGCGGGGGACCGUAAGGCCUCGCGCGAUUGGAGCGGCCGAUGUCAGAUUAGGUAGUUGGUGAGGUAAAGGCUCACCAAGCCGACGAUCUGUAGCUGGUCUGAGAGGACGACCAGCCACAAUGGGGCUGAGAAACGGCCCAGACUCCUACGGGAGGCAGCAGGGGGGAAUUUUGGACAAUGGGCGCAAGCCUGAUCCAGCAAUGCCGCGUGCAGGAUGAAGGCCUUCGGGUUGUAAACUGCUUUUGUACGGAGCGAAAAGGCUCUCUCUAAUACAGGGGGCUCAUGACGGUACCGUAAGAAUAAGCACCGGCUAACUACGUGCCAGCAGCCGCCGUAA